rnacentral:rRNA from 1 species
GACGAACGCUGGCGGCGUGCUUAACACAUGCAAGUCGAACGGAAAGGCCCUGCUCUUGUGGGGUUCACGUGUGGCGAACGGGUGAGUAACACGUGAGUAUCCUGCCCCUGACUUUCUGAUAACUUCAGGAAACUGGGGCUCAUACCGGAUAGGAGCUCCUGCUGCAUGUUGGGGGUUGGAAAGUUUCGGCUGUUGGGGAUCGACUCGCGGCUUAUCAGCUUGUUGGUGGGGUAGUUGCUUACCAAGGCUUCGACGGGUAGCCCGCCUGGGAGGGUGGACGGGCACCAGAGGACUACGAGAGGGAGCAGUCGCGAACGGGAGGCAGCGGGGGGAAGUAUUGCGGAGUAGGGGGGAGUCAGAGACAGAAGCGCUGCGUGCGGGAUGAUGGGCUACGAGUUGUGAACCGCUUUCGAAUGUAACGAAGCGGGAGUGACGGUAAUGGGUAAGAAAGCACCGGCUAACUACGUG